GAACGCCAGCUACAGGCUUAACACACGCAAGUCGAGGGGCAGCAUUUCAGUCUCGCUUCGCAAACCGGAGAAGGCGACCGGCGCACGGGUGAGUAACACGUAUCCAACCUGCCGAUAACUCGGGGAUAGCCUUUCGAAAGAAAGAUUAAUACCCGAUGGUAUAAUCAGACCGCAUGGUCUUGUUAUUAAAGAAUUUCGGUUAUCGAUGGGGAUGCGUUCCAUUAGGCAGUUGGUGAGGUAACGGCUCACCAAACCUUCGAUGGAUAGGGGUUCUGAGAGGAAGGUCCCCCACAUUGGAACUGAGACACGGUCCAAACUCCUACGGGAGGCAGCAGUGAGGAAUAUUGGUCAAUGGGCGCAGGCCUGAACCAGCCAAGUAGCGUGAAGGAUGACUGCCCUAUGGGUUGUAAACUUCUUUUAUAUGGGAAUAAAGUUUUCCACGUGUGGAAUUUUGUAUGUACCAUAUGAAUAAGGAUCGGCUAACUCCGUGCCAGCAGCCGCGGUAAUACGGAGGAUCCGAGCGUUAUCCGGAUUUAUUGGGUUUAAAGGGAGCGUAGGUGGACAGUUAAGUCAGUUGUGAAAGUUUGCGGCUCAACCGUAAAAUUGCAGUUGAUACUGGCUGUCUUGAGUACAGUAGAGGUGGGCGGAAUUCGUGGUGUAGCGGUGAAAUGCUUAGAUAUCACGAAGAACUCCGAUUGCGAAGGCAGCUCACUGGACUGCAACUGACACUGAUGCUCGAAAGUGUGGGUAUCAAACAGGAUUAGAUACCCUGGUAGUCCACACAGUAAACGAUGAAUACUCGCUGUUUGCGAUAUACAGUAAGCGGCCAAGCGAAAGCAUUAAGUAUUCCACCUGGGGAGUACGCCGGCAACGGUGAAACUCAAAGGAAUUGACGGGGGCCCGCACAAGCGGAGGAAUAUGUGGUUUAAUUCGAUGAUACGCGAGGAACCUUACCCGGGCUUAAAUUGCAUUUGAAUAUAUUGGAAACAGUAUAGCCGUAAGGCAAAUGUGAAGGUGCUGCAUGGUUGUCGUCAGCUCGUGCCGUGAGGUGUCGGCUUAAGUGCCAUAACGAGCGCAACCCUUAUCUUUAGUUACUAACAGGUCAUGCUGAGGACUCUAGAGAGACUGCCGUCGUAAGAUGUGAGGAAGGUGGGGAUGACGUCAAAUCAGCACGGCCCUUACGUCCGGGGCUACACACGUGUUACAAUGGGGGGUACAGAAGGCAGCUACCUGGUGACAGGAUGCUAAUCCCAAAAGCCUCUCUCAGUUCGGAUCGAAGUCUGCAACCCGACUUCGUGAAGCUGGAUUCGCUAGUAAUCGCGCAUUCAGCCAUGGCGCGGUGAAUACGUUCCCGGGCC
rnacentral:rRNA from 1 species